GAUUCAGUGGCUUAGUUGUUACAGCAUCCACCUUUGAUGUGGGAGGUCUCGGGUUUGAACCCCCAGCAGAGUCA